rfam:Pleurotus ostreatus PC15 unplaced genomic scaffold scaffold_11, whole genome shotgun sequence.
GUUGGUAUCGAUUAGUGGUUAAAUCACUUCGUUGUGGCCGACGUGUAGCAAGUCCGAAGAGCCGCAGGUUCAAUUCCUGCUACUGACA